GACAGCCAUGCCACCUUCCUUUACACCUCCUUUCCACCUCCAUGACAGCCCUUUACACUUAACAUCCACUUUCAAAUUCCACUUAACAUCACUGCAGCCAAGUCAUUCCUCCUCCUACGCCAUAUCCCCUUCUCCUACAAAUCCGACAGCAAAUUCAUUCUCCCAAUCUCCAAAAUCUUUCAACAUUCAUUAUAUAUUUAUUUUCCACUCAAGAGAAGCUCAAAAGAAAUCCAGACAACAACGGCUCAACUCAAAACUUCUAAAGGCUUUGUGGACCAAGGGGAUUAGCACUGCUUUCCCAAGACAGGUUAUGUGAUUAUGAUCUUCAGGCUUUGCCUAUCCAGGUUGAGCAGCUGAUGGAAUGGAAUGAUGUUGAGCGGGUGUUCCUUUGACAUUUCAAGAAAUGUAACCUUGAGUAUACAUCUUCAUAUGUAUAUCUCACACGUUUUCCGCUGCAAAACACUUUGAUUAAGAUAGCUCUAUGAUAUGAAGUUGUGAUACGUGUUAUUGGGUAACCACCUUAAUCAGUUCUCAAUUAUGUGUAUCCAAAUAAUCAUAUAUGAUCCUAGCAUUUUAUCUAUGAGUGACAUUUUCAUAUACUUUAAUGUUAAGUAAUUGUCCAUUUCCAUUUCUUA